UCUUUGAAUGUUCUUUGUUUACUACCAAAAUGUACGAGAAAAUAGAAUGAAAAUGUGUCCCAUCUUCCCCCACCCUACUAUAUAAGUUAUUUAAAAUCCUAAUGAUGGCAUCACGUUAAUAGCCGCAAACAGUUUCUUGAAGGAUUAAUCGAGUUAACAAGUUGUUCCUCAUAAAGUGCUAUGAGGAAGAGAAUCACCCACCCAAGGAUCAUUCCAAAGUUUUGAAUACAAAACAUAAUGACCGGCUUAUUGCUUCGUACCUCGGUCAUCUCGUGCAGCUGCAGAAUGUAAUAAAUUCAUAUAUUGGAUCAACAAACUGAUAAGAUCAUGAAUGAUGUGGAGAAUUGCAUCACCAGAGAGCGUCCCCACUCCGAGUGCCACAAAGAAUUGUGUAAUCAUUUUGAACACUGGUGAAUUGAGGGUUGGGAACGUGAGGAUGCCUACGAACGCUAACAUGCUGAUGACGACCACAGCCGCUGUACCGUAACCGAAUUCUGAAAUGGAGUUCAGUUUUAGCUCAUGUUGCAUUACAAAUGAACACAUUUAAACAACAAUUUGCUUUUCUAAUAAAGUAUGCGGUGAAAACACAUACUUUGCGCUUGUGUGUAAUUGCUGCUUGUGGCUGCAGGUGUUGUGGUGUUGUCGGUAGCAUUAACGAGACAUGACGCGGAGGCGACUUGCUGCAGGAGACUUGGUGAUACGCUCAGCAUCUCGCUGCGUGUCAUGUUGGUGGUGUAGCCAUAAAUGUUCUUCAGCUGAUCUCUGGUGUAACACUGCGAGAAAAAAUUGAGUCACAGACAACAGUACGAAGUAGGCAUGACACAUAAUGUAACUUGUGUUUAUUUUUCUUAAAUGUACCACCAACUGCUUAUCACUUGUAGUGGAUUUUUUGGGGGUCGCCGUGUAGUUACCUGGUCAGUUGUAUGUAUUGUAAUUGUAAACCAACAACACAGCAUUCCAAUAAACUACAGAAACAAA